UACGUAGGGUCCAAGCGUUAUCCGGAAUCACUGGGCGUAAAGCGUGCGUAGGCGGAGAUUUGCGUGAGAUGCGAAAUCCGGUGGCUCAACCAUCUGGACUGUAUCUCAUACGGGAUUUCUAGAGGACGGCAGAGGCAAGUGGAAUUACGGGUGUAGCAGUGAAAUGCGUAGAGAUCCGUAGGAACACCAAUGGCGAAGGCAGCUUGCUGGGCCGUACCUGACGCUAAGGCACGAAAGCGUGGGGAGCGAACAGG
rnacentral:rRNA from 1 species